rnacentral:rRNA from 1 species
CGAACGGGUGAGUAACACGUGGGCAACCUUUCCUAUCGCGGGGGAUAACACCGGGAAACCGAUGCUAAUACCGCAUGUCGUCACCGGUCGCAUGGCUGGUGAACAAAGCAGCAAUGCACGAUGGGGUGGGCCCGCGGCCUAUCAGCUAGUCGGUGGGGUAACGGCCUACCGAGGCGAUGACGGGUAGCUGGUCUGAGAGGACGGCCAGCCACACGGGGACUGAGACACGGCCCCG